UAUUUAAUGGCCGCGGUAUUUUGACCGUGCAAAGGUAGCAUAAUCAUUAGCCUAUUAAUUGUAGGCUUGUAUGAAUGGUUGGACGAAAUAUUUACUGUCUCAUGUUUGAUUUAUUAUAAUUUAAAUUUUGAGUUAAAAUGCUUAAAUUUUUUUAUAGGACGAGAAGACCCUAUAGAUCUUUAUUUUUAUUUUGUUUUUAUUAUUUUGGUUUAUUAUUAAUUUAAUUUUUUUAAUUAUUUUGUUGGGGUGACAUGGGGAUAUAUUAACUCUUUUUUUUCUUUUUCAUUGAUUUAUGUAUUUUUGACCUUUUAUUAUUGUUUUAANAUAUAGAUACCUUAGGGAUAACAGCGUAAUUUUCUUUGAGAGUUCAUAUCGACAGGAGAGAUUGCGACCUCGAUGUUGGAUUAAGAUUAUAAUUGGGUGCAGAAGCUCUGUUAUUAGGUCUGUUCGACCUUUAAAUUCUUACAUGAUCUGAGUUCAA
rnacentral:rRNA from 1 species